CUUGAACUCACAAGCUGUGAGAUCUUGACCUGAGCUGAAGUCGAACGCUCAACCGACUGAGCCACCCAGGUGCCCCUCCAACCAUUUUUCAAUAGCUGCUCUGCUGUACUGACAUUGUGAGCAGCUCCAAUGAUGCAACAUGAAAUAAAUUGGGAAAUUAACAAUGUUAAAUAAUUGUGGUACAUCAGGAAAUUGGGAUUCUAGAAUGUGAACCUUAGAGCUAGGUAAUUUGAACUCAUUAAUCUGCCCCACCCCCCUGUUCUCCCUCUACCUGCCUGUUUUGAACUUGUAUAAAAAUCAGUGAAGCCAAGUUCUUAAAAUUGUAUAAAAACCAGUGAUCUGGUGAAUUGCUCCAUCUGUACAGGUCACUGAAAGCCUAGGACUUUAGCAUGUAUCAGUGAAGAAGGAGGGCUGUAACAGGGAGCUAUGUCCACCAACAGGGAGCUGUGUCCACCUGCUCUAUCAUAUGUCUUUGAGAUCAUAUGCCUCCUUCGCAUUACUCUAGCCUGUGUGGGAGUCAAAAUGAUGUGUCCUGAGCUGAGUGCAAGUCAUCAUUCUUGCCAAUACUUAAUACGAGGCCAAUCCUUUAUAUUCUGGCUUCAUCAAACCCUUGUCCGUUCUUGCAACACAGCAAACAUUACUACCUCUGAGCUUUACACUUGCUAUAGGCUCUAUCAUAAGUGUUCUUGCUUCAAAUAGUCUUAUGUUUCAUUAUUUCCUAUUUAUUCAGGUCUCUGCUUAAAUGUUAUCUUUACAGAAAUGUUUUCCCCGGAUACUGAAGAAACUGUCCCUGUCACCCUGUUAUGUCCUAACUCUGAUAUAUUUUCUAACAUAAUACAUUAAUAUGUUACUUGGUUACUUGGUUAGUAGCUGACUACUAAACUCCAUGCCUUGUUUUUCUCAAUGUGGUGUCUCAGUUCUUAAAUAGUUCUUAGUAGGUAUCAAUUCUGAAAAAAAAAUUUUGUUUAAUAAAUCGUAAGUUAUUUAAAUAUAAACCCAACAUAACUCAGUCUUUUAGUUCCUUGCACUUACAAGGUCCAAUGAUCUUUAUAACUCCUGUAGUUUGUUAUUACUCCGGAAAUUGUUUUUAUGCUGUGAACAUCCAUAGACUUGAAUUCUUAAACACCAGUAUCUGACUACAGCUUACCUUUCUACUUCCCUUAUUCUUUUACUCCUGACAGUUCUGAUCUGCUACUUCAUCCAGUCCUUAAACUUCUUCAUAUCCUUCCCCAUUUUUUCUUGGCUAAUAUAUCAUCUCAAUCCACCUCCUUUUUAUUCAGUCCCUUCUUUUUUAUUGUUAUUUUAGCAUCUUAAGCCAUGGUUGUUUACUUGAAUUUCUCAUUAUUUCUCUCAACUCCCUCAUUAUGUCAACCUUCACAUUAUAUUUUUAUCUGAAAUUCCAACCUCAACUAAAUUCUGCAAUUAUAUUUCUCCUCUUCAGCAAAGUGGUUCUCAAGCACAACAGGAGAACCAUCUGAGCAGUUGAGUUUCACUCAAAUGGAUAUUAAAUUCCCAUCUCAAUCAAGCCAUCACCAUGACCCAGAAAGCCUUUUUUUUACCUUGUUCAUUUCCUUCCAUUACCAUUAGCACAGACUAACGUCAAGUUAUACUUCCACCUCACCUUGGAUUAUUUCAUUUGUUUUUUUCACAAAGGAUAAAUAAGAGACCACAGCUUGUAAUUCAUAAUCGUGUUGUCCUCAAAUCGCCUAAUCAUCUUGAUAUAUUACCUUCUGUUCCUUUCCCUUCAAUCUCAGAGACAGGGAUGCUCCCAGUCUCUCCUUUUUAUUUUGGUUUUCAUUUUAAGCCAUAAUUGUCUAAUUUUGACCCUUUCUAUUUUCGUUUCCCUAAUCCCCCCUCUUUUAACUGUAUAAGUCCCCAAAUCACUAGUUCCUUCCCAUCUGCUUACACUUCCACCAAAUACCAUAACUUGAUGAAAUCUUUUCUGACUUUACCUGGGUAGUUUAUCUUUGUGCCGCCAUGCAGAAAUUAUAUACUCCUACACCAAAGCAUGAUGAACAGGCUGUAUAGGCUCACUCAUGUAAAUGAGUAGCUCAAUUGAAAUAUCCUCUCAUUGAUUUGCAAAGCUUUUCUGCUCUAUAAAAUGGAUUACAAUUAGAGGAACUGUGUCUCUCUAUAUGAAUUCUCUCAACGUACCAUGAAAGACCUCAAGAAAGAGUUUUGCUCAUUGUGAGUGCCAUUUUCCAGAUACGUUGCUGGAAUAAUUCCUUAAAAACUGAAUAAAGCAUAAGAAAAAAUAAAUAAGUACAUUGUCUAUAUCUCAAGGACAGCUGAGAUUGGCUCCCAACAACAGAAAUCCCGUAUCCAUCUUUUACCUUUAGGUUAAUGUUUAUAAAAAUGGUUUCUUGUAAUAGUAUAUCCUCAACAAUGUUUUAACAUCCAAAAUAUAAAUAUAGAGACUUUCUCCUAAGAUAACAGAAUAAAAAAAUCAUCAUUCAUACGGAACAUGAUGUAGUGGUCAAUCAAUUAAAAGUGAUAUAUCUAGUUAGAGGCCACAAAAGGAUCAUCAUAAAAGUUUUUGUUCCUUUGCACCUUACUUCUGACUGAGCACCACUCUGAGUGCAUCACCUAGCCCUAAUACCAUAAAUCAUGGGAAUUCUCUUCCCCUUUAACUGCUCUCAAAACUCAAAAGUAAAUUUCUCAGCACUUAAUAGUUUAAAAUGAAAAGAUGUGCUAAUUUUUAACCCAAAUAUAUUUGUUUCAAUAGGACUAGUGUCAUGAGUGCCAAUUUGAUGCUUUAGGCUUUGAAAAUGCUUUCUCUUCCAUUUCUGUCUCAUUGUCUUUCUUGGUUCUGUGGUCAAACAUUAGGUGAUAAUAGGAAAGGAGAUUAUGAGCUAGUAUUCUGUUUGUGAGGUCACAUCUAUUUCUUCACCCUGGUAAUUCUACCAGAUGUAUGUUUCUUCAGAAUUAUACCUGCCUUCAAAGUGGUCAUCAUCCAUCCCUAUACACUGAAGCUCUCCGUUCCCAUGUCUGGUCCAGUUUUGUGUCUUGGCAGCAUUUCUUUUCUGUUCUUUUGCACAUACACAAUGAGACUGAAAAGAGUCAUUGGUUUGAUUGUUGGAAGUGAGGAAAGUCUGGGAAAUGUUGCUGUCAACAGUCAAUAUGAAUAACAUAUGAUACUUAUAAUCAAGGCUUUCUAAUACUUUGGCAGACCUGUCAAUCAGAAAUAUAACUUAAGGCCAAACACUGCUGAAUGUUUGAAUAAUAUAAAAAAUAGGUUUUUCUGCACAUAGAAAAAAAUGUAUUGUGACUUCAGUCACUUAGAAAUUGAUUUCUUUCACACACACACACACACACACACACACACACACACACGUCUGAAUAAAGAUAGUUCAAGACUAGUAAAAUAGAGCCACAACCAUCAGUGACCCAAGCUCCUUCUAUCUCUGUUCUAUCAUUUUACCUGGCACCUUCAUCCUAGAUUUCCAGAUGGUUUAAGAUCCUUAUGGAGCUCCAGCCAUCAUAUCUGAGUCCCAGGAAGAGGAAGAAAGAAAGGCCAAAGAUAUUUCCCCCAAUUUGAAACUAAUAUGGACAAGUUUUUAAAGUAGUCAAGAAAUAUUUUAUAUUGUAAUUUUAUGGUUAUUGUAGCAAAUCUAAACAAAGUUAACUUCUUUACAAUAGGAUAAUUUAAAGAUCAUCAUUUCUAUUUAUGGAUUAUUCAGAAAGAUCUGUGUGUGUAACAGUAGCCACCGUGUAGGUUUAUAUUUUCUGUAAUAUAGUAUCAUUUGUUUUUAACACAUGAUCUAGCAAUGCUAUUUCCCUAAGCAUUCCAGCAUCCUGUGUGUAGAUUAAUAGUGAAAACUUGAAGAACUAGUGAGCUAUAGCUAUAUAAUUUCAUGUUAAAUUUAAUGAUGCAUAAAACCACCUAAGGUCUCAGCCUUUUCAUAUUUAGGAAAAUUUAAAUGUGUUGUGAUUCUGAAUUAAUGAAAUGUAAUUAAAAUGUUCUGAGACAUGCCCUAGACACAUUAGCUUAUAUCUUAAGUGACUUGUCAUACAUUUAGGAACUGUUUCUAAAGGAGUAUAGCAACUACCUCUGCAUAUUAAUUUAGGCUCUAGAAUUCAAAGUUUAAGUUUCACUGAAAAUAAGCAAAUCAAACAUAGAUAAACAAGAAUUUCAAUUAAAAUGGAAUAUAUAUUCUGCUUAACUGGAAACUGUCACUCAAAUUCUUAGCAUUUUGGAUCUUAUAAGGACUUAUAACUGUCCAGAACUCAUUAGACUUUUGCACAUAGUUAAAGUUUUGAAACCAACAUUGCAUUCUGGUAUAAAUGUAUUUGGGAGGAAAAAUUCUAGGUUUGUCUCCCAGAUAAACGCCAGUAAAAAUUAUUCUGUGAAGUCUCUUGAGAAUCCAUGUGUGUGAAACAUUCAUGAACUUCAUCAAUGGUGCAGUGGACAUGUAUAUUAAGAAGAAAUAUGUUGGGAUUUUCUUUAAGUUUCAUAAUAUAAAUUUAUCACUUAGUGAUCUAAAUUUUGAAUAUAAUCUUAUUAUUUGUUAUUCUUUUAACAUUUAUCACAUGUAGUGAAAAACAAACAAGUAAACAUUGAUAACCUUCAAAGUUGGUAAGAUUUUUUUGCAUGACUUACUGUUGAAAUCCAGAAACAAAAAUUAUAACUAGACAUGCAGAAAAUCCUUUGAAGUUCUCUGAAGUAUAACAAUAAAUGAUUUUGUUUAAGUUCAAAACAUUAUUAUUUAAAUGGUCUGUAAUUAAUCUAAUUCAUGACAAUAAUUGUCAAAUGUAUUUCAUAAUAGAAUAGCUGUCACAGCUUAAUUAUUACACUUAGGUAAUACUAUCACCUUCACAUAUUAACUUCAGUGGAAUUAAUGAGGAAAAAAGAUACAGCAAAGCAUAAAUGAUCAAACCAUCAUCGAAUAUCUUUGCUUGAGUACUCUCUCUCAAGAAUUAGUGGCUCCAUAAAUAUGGCUCAUCAGAGCUCUUUAGGAGAAGUGUGUCUGAAAGCUACCCUUCCAUUAUGCAUGUAUCUAGUCUUCUAUUUCUCCUCCUUCUAUUAAGCCUCAGGCCUUUCUUUGCCUUGGUUCUCUAGAUUCUUCCCCAUUGACUGUCACCUGGGCUCCAAACUUUUUCUUGCUCCACAUCAUUUUCUUCAGUUCCUCUGUAAAAUUUUCAAAGAUCUUAAAGAUAAUGGAGCUAAUCUAAUAAACUUAUAGGACAUGUUAAUAAAUUAUAUGUCUUUGAGAUUUUUACUUUAAUGUUGGAAAAUUUACCAUUUAAUGGGAAGCACCAUGCAAGAAAAAUAGGGAAAAAAGAUAAUGGAGGACAAAAAAACUAUUGCAGUCACACUUAGGUUAAACCAUGCAGGCGUUUCCCUAUCUCAUUUGAGUCUUCAGCUGAUCUAGUGAAAAAUUUGGAAUCUACAUCUUCAAAGUUAAUCAACUAAUACCCUAAUAUAGAGAACACAUUUUUCUGAAGUUCUGUGCUUCCCUAUUUUGUUGAUAAUGAUGAAUGAUUUAUGCCAUAUUGUAUAGCUUUAUAGAAAAUAAGGUAAGGCAAAUUACUCUCAGGACUUUGAAUAUUUAUAACUGGACAAAGUAAUGUACACAAUAAGUGACUUUUUAAAUGAUGCAGUAUGUAGAAAGUAUAACUGAAGCUACUUGUUUAGCAAGGCAGGUCUUUCAAGGUUAUCUCUAUAGCCUCUUCCAAAAUUAUCCUAUAUAAUUCAUAAAUCUCAAAAGAUCUGUAGAAUAAGGUAUACCUAUCUACACAAUAGGUACGAAUGCCAUGGCUGAGUCCACCUUAUCUAAGAAGUAAUAAAGGGAUUUUUGUCUCCUAAACAAUAACAAAUACCACUUCUGGUUGGUUGCUUUCUUUUAAAAAAUUCCCAAGAACAUAUACUUUUAUGUAUAAUGAUGCAGCAGGAAGAAGGUGCCAUAUGUCUUAUAAAUAAAUGUGAUAAUGUCGUUAGAACAAAUGAAAUUGAAAGGUACACAUUAUAUUCAGAAUAGCUUUGUCUUAUGUUUAAAUAGCCAGUCCUAGUCUCGGGUUGGGCACUGUUUGUUGACUUGGAAACACUGUGGAUUGCCAAGGCACUUUAAUAGACAUGGUUGUGGCCUUCUAAGUGUGCCUGCUGUGUUCCGGUCAGGAGAUGUCAAUACUUAACAGGCUCGGGGUUUAAGAAAAGGCUUAACCUUAUCACAUGUCAUUACAGUUAGUUAAUUGCUGUGACUUCUGUCCUAGAUUGUGAUCAUUGUUGAUAUUUUCUGUUUAAAAAAUAAAGAAAUGGCUAAUGAAAUAUAUUUUUAUGAGUGGUCAUGAGAAAAAAAAAUAGCUCAAAUCCAGAAGACCAUCAUUUUCUGAAGUUGUACUUAGAAAGGCAGGCUGUAGAAGUGAUUUUCUCAGGCUCCCUUCUGACCAAUUCAUGGAACAACAGUAAUCAAUCACAAUUGUUUUAUAGAAUUGAGUUGCUGGUACCAUGUCACAACAAACUGAUUAAACUCUCCCAGAAGAAAUCAUCAACUUUAUUGGGACUAAUGGUAUCUAAGAUCGAAAAGUAAAGCUCAAGUGUGGAGCUCUCACAUCCCUGAUAUUCUAAAAAAAAUGGCUAACAGUUUACUCUCAAAUCAAACUAUAAACUUCAUAUUUAAAAUAACAGAAGCAUUUGAACAAGGAAGACAAAGAAUUGUGAUGGUUGCUUUUAUGUGUCUACUUGACUGGGAUACAAGAUCGAAAGGAGGCUGGCUAUCAAUAUCCUCAUCACUGAGAACUGUUGUUGAUUAUGUACCUACUUAUGUGAAAAUCAAAUCCAGGUGUUGGAGCCUGUGACACAUAAGGUACAAGCUUGAGCUAAGGAAGUGUCUACUUGAAUUGGGCAUACGUUCAUUCUUACUGAAUAACCAGUUAUGGUUUCCUGUGUGAGAAAAAUUGCCGGGAAGGAUAUUUCAGGAAGUGUGUGUUUUGGGUCCUUAAAUAGUAGAAGUAAGGAUAAAAAGGAUGAAUGGCCCAUUUUAGUUAAAAGUAUCUUCCACGCACAGUAUUUCUCCUUUGAAUACACAAUAUAUAUGGUUCAUAAUUGUUUUGCUUUGUUCUGAGACCAUUAAUAUUAGUGUAAAACAAAUAGAGGGGAAGGAUUACUGUUGUCUAUCAUUACCUAUAAAACUAAAUGUGUAUUUUCUGGUGUUUACAUUAUAUACUUGUUUACAACUUUUUAUUUUUCAUACUGUUAAUUGUGCACAAGGAAACACAGAGCUCUUCGCCCCAGAUCAUGCUGGUUUUGUUUAAUUUAUAUACUUAAUAAACUUUAGAGAAAGACAGUAGUUUUGGCAUUUUCAUAGCCUGACAUCAGUAUUCUAAAAUUUAUAACCAGACAGUUGCUAUGCUUCACUUAUAUGCCAUCUCUGUUCUCUUUCCCUCUGGAAAUAUUUACUGACCUCUUCUUUUAUUCAAACAUUCAUUUUAUAUGUACUUUUGUACAUAGAAAGUUUUAUUGUUCGUAAGAAACUUCUAGAAAAAGUUCUGUUAAAAGUUCUUCUACUGUGACAACUGAAUGUUCUCCUUUAAAAAUAUUAAACUUACAUGUUCAUGGUUACACGGUCACAGGAACAGGGAAGUGAAUAGCUUGUACAUGGCUAAAAUGAAGAAUUAAUUUUGAGAUAUUAUACUACCAAUAAAUGUGUCACACACUAGGAAACCUGGUUACCUGUAGGAAAAAAUACUAAAGUUUUACUACUGUUGCCAUCUGCAUCAUGUAUCAUUUAAAUUUUUGACUAAUUCAGUCAUCUCUACCCCAUGAAUUUUAAUUAGCAACAAGGGAUAUCUUUUCCCUUGGGCAAUGCAACAUGUAGAAAACAGGUAUUUGAACUUCUAAAAAUAAAAUAUUGUCACAUUGUUAGAUCUUAAUCUAGUUAGGUUCCCCUUCUCUUGUAGACUUUUCUGGUGGCAAACUUUAAUGUUAAGAUAUAGUGUCAAUUCAAAUAUAUAGAACAGAGGAAGAAAAAAAAUACCAAAAUUUGUUUAUAAAUGCAAGACACUCUGCUAGCUGGAAAUUUUAGGAAAAACAAUAGCAUUCGUACCUAACAUUUAUAUACUUAUUUCAAUUAGCCAGGUAAGUGCUUUAUAUUUAUUUACUCAUUCACUUCCCACAAUAAUCCUCUGACAUAGGUAUAUUUUUACUUAGGUGUGUUAAACUAUGCCAUAGUAAGUUAAUCACCAAAUCUCAGAUUCUCACACAAGAAGUGUUUAUUUCUGUCUAUAUCCAAAGUGAAUUCUAGGCUGGAAAGGAAGAAAAGUUUCAAGUGUAUGACAUAGUGAUUCAACAAUUCUAUACAUUACUCAGCAUUGAUCAUGACAAGUGCACUUCUUAAUCCCCAUCACCUAUUUCACCCAUCCCCU